CCUACGGGAGGCAGCAGUGGGGAAUAUUGGACAAUGGGCGAAAGCCUGAUCCAGCCAUGCCGUGUGUGUGAAGAAGGCCUUCGGGUUGUAAAGCACUUUCAGUGGGGAAGAAAGCCUUGGGGCUAAUACCCUCGAGGAAGGACAUCACCCACAGAAGAAGCACCGGCUAACUCCGUGCCAGCAGCCGCGGUAAUACGGAGGGUGCGAGCGUUAAUCGGAAUUACUGGGCGUAAAGCGCGCGUAGGCGGUCUGAUAAGCCGGUUGUGAAAGCCCCGGGCUCAACCUGGGAACGGCAUCCGGAACUGUCAGGCUAGAGUGCAGGAGAGGAAGGUAGAAUUCCCGGUGUAGCGGUGAAAUGCGUAGAGAUCGGGAGGAAUACCAGUGGCGAAGGCGGCCUUCUGGACUGACACUGACGCUGAGGUGCGAAAGCGUGGGUAGCAAACAGGAUUAGAUACCCCGGUAGUC
rnacentral:rRNA from 1 species